GACGAACGCUGGCGGCGUGCCUAAUACAUGCAAGUUGAGCGCUGAAGGUUGGUGCUUGUACCUACUGGAUGAGCAGCGAACGGGUGAGUAACGCGUGGGGAAUCUGCCUUUGAGCGGGGGACAACAUCUGGAAACGAAUGCUAAUACCGCAUAAAAACUUUAAACACAAGUUUUAAGUUUGAAAGAUGCAAUUGCAUCACUCAAAGAUGAUCCCGCGUUGUAUUAGCUAGUUGGUGAGGUAAAGGCUCACCAAGGCGAAGAUACAUAGCCGACCUGAGAGGGUGGUCGGCCACAUUGGGACUUAGACACGGCCCAAACUCCUACGGGAGGCAGCAGUAGGGAAUCUUCGGCAAUGGACGAAAGUCUGACCGGGCAACGCCGCGGGAGUGAAGAAGGUUUUCGGAUCGUAAAACUCUGUUGGUAGGGAAGAACGUUGGUGAGAGUGGAAAGCUCAUCAAGUGACGGUAACUACCCAGAAAGGGACGGCUAACUACGUG
rnacentral:rRNA from 1 species